CCACAAUCCUACAAAAUAAAGCUGAAAUAAAUCCUAUUUGGGUUUUUAUUGAGAUUAAAAAAACAUCAACAAAUAAAACAAAUAUUGACAUUUCACUUUAUUACAGCAAACUUUCCAAAUAUUUUCUCUGGAACAAAACUCAAACUCACAUUACCCUCAAAUUAAUGUUAGGUGGCUUCACAGACCUAUUUCUAAUUACAGAGAUAGAUGCACUAUGUUUUACAAUAUGUAUGUUUUUAUCUGUAUAGUGCAACUGCAUUGUCAAAAACAUUACAAGAUAAGAACAUUGAAUUAAUCGAAACAGCAUAGGAUAAGAGCAGACCAAGUUGAAAACAUGAAACUGAAAGAAACUUGUUACAGGAACGUGAAAUCAUACAAAUUAUAGAUUUUGCUGUGUACCUCAAUUACGAUUUUUAUAUGACAGAAAUUGCAAAGUUGCAAUGCAGUAUGAACUGAUAUUGUCAUGCACACAAUUCAUUAAAGAAAUUAAUAGCAGGCUAGAAGACAUGUUUAACAUACAUGCAAUCUUGAACAACAUUUACAUACAACUUCGCCCAGUCUGUGAAACCAAGCCAUCCACUUCAGGUGAAAGCCAGGUAAUAAAAAACAUGUAAAAAUAGUUGAUAGCUAACAGAUAAGUCUUAAAAAUAACUAUGAGUAUUGAUGUUUAGUGAAUUACAAGGAUGAUACUAGCUAACAAAAAACCCUCACAGUAGACAAUAACUAUACAUCUUCUGGGAGAUAUCUUAGUGAUGAUUGGAUUGGAAGUUUACAGUUACCGUCUUGACUCCACAAGGUGAAGUAUGCAAUGAAUCAAGUGAAAUAAAGUGCAACUAUGUUUAAUGGCACCGUCCCAAAUGGCACCUUAUUCCCUUUAUAGUGGUCACAUGUGGCUCAGUUGGUAGAGGAUGGUGGUAGAGCAUGGUUUGCAACGCCAGGGUUGUGGGUUUGAUUCCCACGGGGGACCAGUACGAAAAGAAGAAAAAAAAUGUAUGAAAUGUAUGCAUUCACUACUGUAAGUCGCUCUGGAUAACAGCGUCUGCUAAAUGACUAAAAUGUAAUAGUGCUCUACUUUUGACCAGGGUCCGUAGGCUCUGGUCAAAGUAGUGCACUUUAUAGGGAAGAGGGUGCCAUGACAGUGACACUAACAAAAUCUGUAUCGAAACAAAGAUAGCUGGGAAGAAGUUGUUACAUUCAAAGCUUUGGCAAUUAAGAGAAAUAAAAUUACAAGACAUUAGCAUUUUGAAAAUUGCAGACCCUCAGGAGAGAUAAGACAACAAUUAAAAGUAUGUUAUUUAUUUAUUACAAGAAACAAAACACUGAUUUAACCCAUUUUAGCUUCUUAUUUACCUAUAUGAGUAAAUAGACAAUUGAUUCAUACAUUCAUGAUCUUUCCCACAUUGUAACAUUUUGGAUGGAGAUGAAGGAACAUCUCGGUAAAAGCUCAAUGAGAAUAUCAUGACCAAAAGGAUGCGCAUGGAAUUAGAAACCGUAUCCAAAUGGGAUAAGUCUGCACAGACCAAUAUAUUAACAACUGUCAAUGAAAUUGUCUUCACAUCAUUCAAGCUAUGAAGGGGAAGAAAAAAAAAUGACAUGGUUUCCACAAAGCAUCAAAAAUAAUAGCAAGAGCAAAUAGACACGUAGGUUAAUUGAGAAAACUAAAGAGUUGGGUAAGAGCUAUCCCACUAGUAAAAUGUUAAAAACAUGUCCAUUCAUCCUACAAGAUGCUACUGAUAUUUUGUGUUUCCCGGCAACAAGGUAUGUUGUCUUGUUCAGUCUGCUCCACCUAGGUUCCUUUUACUUUAGAAACCUUUUUGGUUGAGCCAGGCUUCCUGCCUCCGCCUCUUAGAAACAACCCCCACCUUCUUUAUGAGCUGCCGCCACCUUACCAGGUUUGCUAGCCUUGUGACAACCACUGUGUGGUUUUAUUUCCUCUUCAAAUUGGACACAAGUCUUCGUCCUCAUCUCUCUCUGCAUCUUCAUUUUCCUCCUUCUCUGAAUCACAAGUUGUAUAAUCAACUUUCACAGAUGUUCUCCUGCCUCUUCGCCUCUGGGCUUGGAAGGCAGCUUCAUCUAACACAUUUGCUUUACCAUUGGUGCAGCGGUAAAGCUUUACUAUUGGAGAAACAGUGCACCCCUGUUUGGCUGGGGGUGCACUAUUGGACCUAUGCUUCUCUGCUGCUCUCUUGGCUUUGUUUGCUUGUACGGAGCCUAAGGGGCGGCCCCUCUUUUGCGGGGAACCAUCUAUAACGGGUGGCUUGGAAACUUUAGAGGUUGGAGGUGGGUUCUUCCGUAAGUGGGCACCUCUCCCCAUUGUUGCCUUGCGUGGACGGCCUCUUGCCCGUGGCUCAGCAGAGGUGGCUGGGGGAUCCAUGUAGGGGUGGAUGCGCGGCCUUCCGAGAGGCUUCCACACUCUUGAUCCCUUAGGUUGGCUUUUCAGUUUCUUUCUCUCUUCUUCCUCCUCGGUUGAUAGCGGGUUCUUCUUCGGCCUACCCAUUUUUUUUUUGGGUUUAACAUUUUGGGGCCGGCCAUGCUUCAGAGGUGCAGUUCCGAGAGGCUUCCACACUCUUGAUCCCUUAGGUUGGCUUUUCAGUUUCUUUCUCUCUUCUUCCUCCUCGGUUGAUAGCGGGUUCUUUCUCGGCCUACCCAUUUUUUUUGUUUGUUUAACAUUUUGGGGCCGGCCAUGCUUCAGAGGUGCAGUUGGCUCUGCUGAAACAGCAUUAGGGUCAACCAGUUUACAUGGCCUGCCCCGUGGCCGCUUGUCUAGUACCCUCAGUAUCUUGGGUGUCUUAGAGCCUGAUCCUUUGGGCCUUCCCUUUCCCCUCUUAGGUGGUAUGGGGUUGCCAUUAGACAAGGCUUCACCUAACUCCUCAUCACUACCAGUAUCAGAGGCAAUUAUCUGUCCUUUUUCCGACACUGUUGCCCCUUCUUCAGACAUUGUUGCCCCUUCUUCAGACAUUGUUGCCCCUUCUUUCAUCUGUUUUCUUGCAACCUGGCUCCUUCGUUCUUUCCUUCCAGCUCACUUUCUUGGAGGACUAGUGAACUACUUAGGGCUUCCCACUGUAAAACACACAUCUCGAGAAAGUUACAAAACAAACAAAUGUUCUUUGUGCACCCCUUCAUUGCUUCAUAAAAGUGACCUACAUGGGCGCGAGAAAGUGUAGCUAACAUGUAUUGCAACAUGCACAGCCUAAACACAGAUUUUAUGUUUACUGAUUUUUCAUUUAUGUAUAUGGUAAGGUGCACAAUACUAACAAAAUGUGAUAUGAACGUCUCCAUGACAUCCCUAAUUAAGGUUGCUGCAUUGAAGCGAUUCUGAAAACUAGCUAGCUAGUAUCCUGAAUCGGUGAUUGUUUUGGUUAGUAGUAGUUAGCUAACUUUACCAGCUGUUCGAAGAAACAUAAUAUUAAUCUUUUAGGACAGGGUUUCCCACACUCUGUCCUACCCACCCCUGGGUGCACGUUUUGUUUUUUCCCUAAGCACUACAUAGCUGAUUAAAAUAAUCAAAGUUUGAUGAUGAAUUGGAUAUAUGAAUCAAAUGGGUAGUGCUUGCGCAAAAACAAAAACGUGCACACAGGGGGAGGGAGGGCCCAGGUCCGAGUUUGGGAAACCCUGUUCGAGAAGUAACUAGUUAACUAAAUGGACCUGAAAAUAAACUAGCUAAUUUGCUAACUGCGUAUAAUCGCCAGCUAUUUCGCUAGGUAGCUACCUAGAUAGUUAUCGUGACAAAGCCACCUAACUAGCUAGCUAGUUAAAUAAUGGUUAAAUAAAAUAAAAGCUAUCAAGCAGUAGCACGAACGCUUGCGACAGCCAUGGAUAGCAAGCUAGCUAGCUAGCUCACGCCGUUAGCUUGCUAGCGAAGCUAGUUUAAUGAAAAU
rnacentral:lncRNA from 1 species